GCCUCCUUGGCUCAGUGGUAAAGCGUCGCACUUGUACGGCUGCCUUCAAGCAGCUUCUGAAAUGCGAAGAUCGGUGGUUCAAUUCCGCUAGGAGGCA